ensembl:snRNA U6 U6 spliceosomal RNA
GAGCUCACUUCGGCCACACAUAUGCUAAAAUUGGAACAAUACAGAGUAGAUUAGCAUGUCCCCUGCACAAGGAUGACAUGCAAAUUUGUGAAGCAUUGCAUAUUUUU